rnacentral:rRNA from 1 species
UACAGAGGGUGCGAGCGUUGUCCGGAAUCACUGGGCGUAAAGGGCGCGUAGGCGGUUGCCUAAGCGUGUGGUGAAAGCCCGGGGCUCAACCCCGGGUCGGCCAUGCGAACUGGGCGACUGGAGCACGUCAGAGGCAGGCGGAAUUCCGGGUGUAGCGGUGGAAUGCGUAGAGAUCCGGAAGAACACCGGUGGCGAAGGCGGCCUGCUGGGACGUGGCUGACGCUGAGGUGCGAAAGCGUGGGGAGCAAACAGG